GAGAGAGAGAGAGAGAGAGAGAGAGAGAGAGAGAGAGAGAGGGGAGAAUGGGAGAAAGGGGGAGAAGGGAAGAGAGGAGAGGGAGAAGAGGAGAAAAGAGGGAGAGGCCAAGUCAGUCAGCAAGCCAUUCAACCAUAAUAUGUCUACUAUAGUUCACAUGAAUUUUUGAUUAAG